rnacentral:rRNA from 1 species
CCUACGGGGGGCAGCAGUAAGGAAUAUUGGUCAAUGGACGCAAGUCUGAACCAGCCAUGCCGCGUGGAGGAUGAAGGUCCUCUGGAUUGUAAACUUCUUUUAUUUGGGAAGAAACUCCCGAUUUCCAUCGGGAUUGACGGUACCAGAUGAAUAAGCACCGGCUAACUCCGUGCCAGCAGCCGCGGUAAUACGGAGGGUUCAAGCUUUAUCCGGAGUCAGUGGGUUUAACGGUUGCGUAGAGUGACCGGUAAAAUCUCCGGGCUUAACCCGGAAACUGCCAUUGAUACUAUUUGUCUUGAAUACUCUGGAGGUGAGCGGAAUAUGUCAUGUAGCGGUGAAAUGCUUAGAUAUGACAUAGAACACCCAUUGCGAAGGCAGCUCACUACGGAAAUAUUGACGCUGAGGCACGAAAGCGUGGGGAUCAAACAGGAUUAGAUACCCCUGUAGUC